CUAAGUUAGCAGUAUAUUUCUUUACGCUCCAUUUACAUUUUCUAGUCCCAUCAUUACUGCGUGAUUUUAGCCACGUGAGGUCACCUGACGCGCCAGCUCGAGGAGAAGGCAGAGCGGCAGCGGCUACAGGGCAUGCGCACACCGGCAGCUCGUGUCACUCACUGAGGGACUCUUGGAAAAACAGGCCGCAGGGGGAGCUGUGAGGAUACAAAUGUGAAGCUUCACACAGCCUUCUUGCCAGACUCAUGGAACAAGGGUGCUCUGAGACUGCAGCCAAGAGUGUCCAGAGUUGGUUCACAGUCUCCUGCAAGUUCCACAGCUGGUACCCAAGUCGAUUACCUAUUACCCCAUGCACUGGUUGGUGAGGCUGCUGGAUUCCACAACUCCCACAGAGUUGUUAAGUUUCAGAGAACUUCAAAGAACUUGGAGCAGGCCAUUUUACUGGAGUGGGUUGCCAUUUUAUUCUCAAGGAGAUCUUCCCGAUUUGAGGAUCGAACCAGCGGCUCCUGCUUGGCUAGCAUGAAGCUAAUAAUGUUAGCUGGGAACCUCCUAUGACACUGGGAAAUGAAGAGACUGAGAAUAGAAAAAGGAAGCAAAAUGUUGUCAAUAGUCUCUUAAAACCUAGAAAACAACGAGUGUUCUCUCUAAAAGGUGGCUAUAGAAAUUUUCUUCUCCGAGAUUGUCAUCCCUAAGGACUUUGCACAGCUUAUUGGUCAAAACGAAGUAUCUGAGCCAAAGCCGCUUACUUCAGCCAGACUCUCUCCAGACCAAGUUACUCAUACAGACAGACAGUGACUGAUUCUCCAGCAAAAGGCAGAGUUAGACUUGUAAUCAGCAUCUUAGAAUAUAAAAAUUUCAUGUAAAAUAAGGCUAUGAGUUAUGAGAAAUCAAGAGAAAACUGGACUAUUCAAAAGCUCUUUCCAGGUUUCCUGCUCCUUCUAGCAUCAAACAUCAUCUUACAAGAGUCUUACAAGGACAACUAUGAUGACUGCUGUUUGGAAUACAAUGGGUGUGCAACUGUAAACUGUAUCCCAAUUACAGGAAUGUUACAAUGUAAAACAAAAGUGCAUCUUAUAAGUGAUGAAAUAAUAUUUCAAUUUGGUUGAAAUAAUA